AAUACUAACCUUUCAGGGUUUAUUUCUAUAGUUUGUUACUAAAGAAAUUUUACUGAAUGUGUAGAGCACCUGAAACCACAAGGAGAUACAGCAUUCUCUUCUGAGUGUGAAGCCAGCUCUUGGUGUUGCUUUUGUAUCUACCAUUUGCCAUUGAGGAUCAUUCUUUUUAUCACCUUGUUUGGAAAGGAGAGAAUGUGGUCUGAGUGGU